UACGGGGGGAGCAAGCGUUGUUCGGAUUUACUGGGCGUAAAGGGCGCGUAGGCGGUCGUGACAAGUCACUUGUGAAAUCUCCGGGCUUAACUCGGAACGGUCAAGUGAUACUGUCGGACUAGAGUUCGGAAGAGGCGAGUGGAAUUCCCCGGUGUAGCGGUGAAAUGCGCAGAUAUCGGGAGGAACACCUAUGGCGAAGGCAGCUCGCUGGGACGUUACUGACGCUGAGACGCGAAAGCGUGGGGAGCAAACAGG
rnacentral:rRNA from 1 species